UACAGAGGUGGCAAGCGUUGUUCGGAAUUACUGGGCGUAAAGGGCGCGUAGGCGGUGCUCUAAGUCCCGUGUGAAAUCCCCCGGCUCAACUGGGGAAUGGCACGGGAAACUGGAGUGCUUGAGUUCGGGAGAGGGAAGCGGAAUUCCGGGUGUAGCGGUGAAAUGCGUAGAAUAUCCGGAGGAACACCGGUGGCGAAGGCGGCUCUCUGGGGACGG
rnacentral:rRNA from 1 species